ACGGGAGGCAGCAGUGAGGAAUAUUGGUCAAUGGACGAGAGUCUGAACCAGCCAAAUCGCGUGAAGGAAGACUGCCCUACGGGUUGUAAACUUCUUUUGUACAGGAAUAAAAGACAUUACGUGUAAUGUAUUGCAUGUACUGUACGAAUAAGCAUCGGCUAACUCCGUGCCAGCAGCCGCGGUAAUACGGAGGAUGCGAGCGUUAUCCGGAUUUAUUGGGUUUAAAGGGUGCGCAGGCGGGAUUUUAAGUCAGCGGUGAAAUUUUCAGGCUCAACCUGAACACUGCCGUUGAAACUGGGAUUCUUGAGUAUGGAUGAAGUAGGCGGAAUUCGUUGUGUAGCGGUGACAUGCUUAGAUAUAACGAGGAACUCCGAUUGCGUAGGCAGCUUACUAAGCCAUAACUGACGCUCAAGCACGAAAGCGUGGGGAUCAAACAGGAUUAGAUACCCUGGUAGUCCACGCCGUAAACGAUGAUUACUAGUUGUUUGCGAUAUACCGUAAGUGACUAAGCGAAAGCGAUAA
rnacentral:rRNA from 1 species